rnacentral:tRNA from 1 species
GCCCGGGUAGCUCAAUCGGUAGAGCGUGUGGCUCUUAGAUAUACCUCAAGGUCGCGGGUUCGAGCCCCGCCUCGGGCU